CUCCAGUGGCGAGUGACCUCGGUCCGGAACGCUCAGCCCUGGGGGCACUUUCUUGGUACCUGCAAAGAAAGUGCUGUCAGAGUUGAGGAUCCCUGGCUGCAGGAAGGCGUCUGGCUUCGU
rnacentral:precursor_RNA from 15 species